rnacentral:misc_RNA from 1 species
AACGCACAUUGCGCCCCGUGGUAUUCCGCGGGGCAUGCCUGUUCGAGCGUCAGUACAACACUCAAGCUCUGCUUGGUCUUGAGCCCCGCUGGCAACAGCAGGCUUUAAAAUCAGUGGCGGUGCCGUUCGGCUCUGAGCGUAGUAAUCUAACCCCGCUACGGAGCCCGGGCGGUUGCCUGCCAGCAACCCUCAACUUCUAAGUUUGACCUCGGAUCAGGUAGGGAUACCCGCUGAACUUAA